rnacentral:misc_RNA from 1 species
GUGAAUCAUCGAAUUUUUGAACGCAAAUUGCACUCUCUGCGGAGAGUAUGCGUGUUUGAGGGUCAGAAUUAAUAAAAAUCGGAGUAUUGCUACUUUGUGACGCCCCGGAGUUUGGGCCAGCUUAUAUCCUUUAGGUUUUAAGAGGCUUAAAAUUGACUUUUUUUGCGCAUUUUAGAUGUACAUAAACGCUUUUUUUGAUUCGUCUGUCUUAAUGCUUAAAUUCCUAUU